rnacentral:rRNA from 1 species
UGGGGAAUAUUGCACAAUGGGCGCAAGCCUGAUGCAGCGACGCCGCGUGAGGGAUGGAGGCCUUCGGGUUGUAAACCUCUUUCGCCAGUGAAGCAGGCCAUCUUCUUUGUGGGGUGGUUGACGGUAGCUGGAUAAGAAGCGCCGGCUAACUACGUGCCAGCAGCCGCGGUAAUACGUAGGGCGCGAGCGUUGUCCGGAAUUAUUGGGCGUAAAGAGCUCGUAGGCGGCUGGUCGCGUCUGUCGUGAAAUCCCCUGGCUUAACUGGGGGCUUGCGGUGGGUACGGGACGGCUUGAGUGCGGUAGGGGAGACUGGAAUUCCUGGUGUAGCGGUGGAAUGCGCAGAUAUCAGGAGGAGCACCGGUGGCGAAGGCGGGGCUCUGGGCCGUUACUGACGCUGAGGAGCGAAAGCGUGGGGAGCGAACAGG